rnacentral:rRNA from 1 species
GACGAACGCUGGCGGCGUGCUUAACACAUGCAAGUCGAACGGAAAGGCCCUGCUUGCAGGCUACUCGAGUGGCGAACGGGCGAGUAACACGUGGGUGAUCUGCCCUCCACUUCGGCAUAAGCCUGGGCGACUGGGUCUAAUACCUGAUAGGAGAUAUUUUUAGCGGGAUGGUUGGAAAGUUUUUUCGGUGUAGGGUGAGCUCGCGGCCUAUCAGCUUGUUGGUGGGGUAAUGGCGUACCGACGCGGCGACGGGUAGCCGGCCUGCGAGGGUGGACGGCCACACUGGCACUGAGAGAAGGCCCAGGCGCCGACUGGUGGCAGAAGGGGGGAAGAUUGCACAAGGGGCGCAGGCCGGAUGCAGCGGGGCCGCGUGUGGGAUGACGGCCUUCGGGUUGUAGACAAGUUGCGCGAGGGACGAAGCUUGUUGUGACGGUACCUAGAGAAGAAGCACCGGCUAACUACGUG